GUUAGGACCUUCCUCUUGCUGCUCACGGUGAUUUCCGGGCUCAGUUAACCAUUAAACAUCGAAUUCAACAUCAAAACCAAAGUCACCAACUCGCCGGCGCUACCCUCUCCUAUGGUUGCUUUCCUCUCUUGCUUUGUUGAUUCAAUCCACACACUUAGGAUGGAUACCACACAGGUAAGAGUCACAAAGGCUCAAGCAAUUGGCAUGGAGAAGAAAUCACGAAGAAGAAGAAGGCAGAAGGACAUGGCAGUCUCUCUUUGGAGCUCACGGGUUCAAUGGACGGCUUCAACUAAUGGACCGGUUUCAAUUAGGAUGAAAACACCAAUAUAUAUAGUAAGUCAAGUGGCCAACAUAAGGUAAGUAAGGAUAUGGUAAGUAGGCUCGACUAGGGUUAACUUCCAAUGGAAAGAAUCAACAAGCCACAAAGAGUAUUAGCCGUCCAAUAGGUAAGGCAACGUUUGGUCGGUUCAUCCAUUAUUCGAUGUUGAAUUAUCGUUCAG
rnacentral:lncRNA from 1 species